UAAGAUGAAUGUGGACAUCUGCUAUCAAAAUUCAAGGAAGUUACCAAAGAUUAUAGGGUGUGUUAGAAGAACUCAGAAGACAACCUGAAGAGAAUCCUGCUGGCUAAGGAUAGGACAAUUUGAACUACAAAAAGCAAACAAAUAAAAAACAAAAAAGAAGUAAUAAUUGCUAAUGAUUGAAACUUUAUCAAAUAUGUUUAAAACAUGAGUUCAUGGUAAUAUUUUUUAAAAACAAAGAAUUGGUUACCUGUAGAGAAGGAUAAGGAACCAGUUUAUUCUCUUGGAAACUAGUAAAUAGAGGAAAAGAACCAAGGACUUAUACUACCUUUUCCAUAUGAACUGUAUCAUUGGGUAACCAAGUAGUAGAUGAGACAUGUCUCCUCAUAAAAGGAUUUCAACUAAUAGGUGAAAAAGAAAUAAUGGAAUUUGAAUAUCACCAUUUUGCAACCCCCAGUGAAUUAAUGGAUCUAGAUAUCAAUAGUUAGUAAUACCACAAAAAGAGAAUCAACCAGACAUUGUAUGCCUCCAGAUGAAACCUAUAGUCUUAUCCAACCUAUAGUCUUACCCAAAAGAAUACAACCAAGUCCAGCAAAGCCUUUGAAUUCAGGUACCAGUUUGCAGGAAGUACUGAGGACAAAGGAACAUGCCUCACUGUACCAUGAGUAUGAAAACAGCAAACUUCAGACUGUGAGAAACUCUGCAAGUCAGAAAGCUUGGGCUGGAGUUUCUGCUGUGGUGCAACAGGAUCAGGAGUGUCUUUGGAGUGCUGGGACAAAGGUUCGAUCCCUGGCACAGUGGGUUAAGGAUCCAGCUUUGCCACCAGCAUAGCCCUGAGAACUCCAUAUGCCGCAGGGAGUUCCCGUCGUGGCACAGUGGUUAACGAAUCUGACUAGGAACCAUGAGGUUGCGGGUUCAAUCCCUAGCCUUGCUCAGUGGGUUAAGGAUCCAGCAUUGCCGUGAGCUGUGGUGUAGAUCGCAGACACCGCUCGAUCCUCCGUUGCUGUGGCUCUGGCUUAGGCCAGUGGCUACAGCUCCCAUUAGACCCCUAGCCUGGGAACCUCCAUAUGGCACCGGAGUGGCCGUAGAAAAGGCAAAAAAAUAAAAAUAAAAAUAAAAAAAAAAAAAGACAUAGCCCACCCUCCAAAUUUUAAUUGGCAAAAAUGUCUGUGGAUGUGCAUUUAGGUGUCAUAAGCUAUAAGGAAACAAGUGAAAAUGAUUGCUUUGAAAAUCAGGAUGGUGGAUGCUUUGAGGGGUGGGAGGUGAUUUGAAAUUAGGAUGAGGCACAUUGAGGACUUCUGUUAAAUUCUAUUUCUUGAUUUGGGUCUUGGCUACAAGAAUGUUUGCCCUGUAACAACUCAUUAUGGUAUACAUUUAUUUUGCAUUGCUUUCUAAAUCUUUUAUUUUACAAUAGACAAAAGUCUUAACAUAAAGGAUAUCUAUUACAACAAAGGGAGAAUUUCAAAAAAAAUUCUUUCAUGUGUAUUAUUCAAGAUUCAUAAAGUAUCAAAAAGAACCUAUAACAUUUCCAGUGAUUAUUUUGUCUGGCAAAGAGAGGGAAAAUGAGAAAAGAAAAUAGGGAGCCAGGUGAGAUGGUGAAAUGAAAGCCAGGAAGAGUAACCUCUUAAUCUUAAAACAAAUCCAAGCAAUAUUAGUCGGUUUAGGUGAGCUGUAUUUCUCUAAAGUGAAUUUAGAGUUUAACAUAUUUUUUUACAUAGAGGGAUACAUGUUUAUAAAGCCCCGAUCACUUGGAAGGUCUGGCCCUUUGAAAUUAAGCCUAAAAAUUUCCUUGCUUUAAUUAUUGCUGAAGGAGUUAAGAGCCUUAUAUAUUUAGAUGGAUUAUUUUAAACAUCAUUGUUAGACAAAUUCUCUUUAAAUGGG
ensembl:lncRNA